rnacentral:lncRNA from 1 species
CAGGUGCUCAGGGGUAGCACCGAACCCCUCCAGUAAACGAGAGCUGUGGGGUGGAGCCUCAGAAAACCCUCAGCCCAUAGACAUCCAAGAAAGGCAGGAGCCCUAGCGCUUUGGUGUGCAGCAGGACGCAGCAGGAGUGGGUGACCUGCUGUCCAGACCAGGGGGCAGCGCCUGCUUCCCGGUCCCCUCGCCCGGCCCCAGGACAGCAGACUAGUCUGCUUAGCCGCGCACCCCACCCUCCUGACAGGGUCCCGGAGGGGGUCUGCGUUGUGUGUCUUCUACACGUUGCUGUAACCUCGAGGAGCUUUGACGGCCGGCGUGGGCUAACCGGGGCCGUUUGCUCUCGCAGUGGGUUAAACCAUCCACGGAUAAGGCAUAGGAUGAGGUGUCAACGUUUGUUUUGAAGUCUCAGGAUUCUUAAGACGGUGGUUUUCCAAAGAACUGUCCCACCCAGAAUCACUUGCUUAAAUACUUGCGUGAAGUACCAUCCUAAGGCUCAGGCUGUGCAUUUCUGUACCUGGCAGGAGUUUUGCAUUCUGCUCUUAAAAAGACGGGGUUUUGAAGAGCAGCUCAGGACCCCAGGCCCAGGGCACUGUCACCAUGAUGGUGCAGGGGUCACCCGAUCUUAGCUCUUCUCCCUGAACAAGUGGCGUGACCCUGGGUGCCCAGCGUAGGGGUGGGUGGGGGCAGGGCAGCACGGUGGGCCUAGGUGGCCAGCCACCCUCCCAGCCUCUUCCCUGCACCCCCCUAGCAGGGCCAGCCUGCCUCUCCGGGCCUGCAUGUGCUGGUGCUGGGAAGCCCUGGCCAGAGGCUGAUGUGAGCGUGUGCGGGAGAGACCGUCACAUCCUGAUGAUGCUUACAGUGGACUACACGCCGGCCCCAGCUAAGGGCCGUAGGGGGAUCGGGCCCCUCAAUUCUGGCCUGUGCUCCUCCAGCCGCCUGCCUGGCCCUGGGCCCUCACUGUGCUGCUCAUGGCUCCUGGCCAGGACCCUGCAUCGAAGCCCCUCUCCCCUGGGAGCAUGGAGGGACGGUCGCUGGUGGCACCAGCUCCGGUGUACCUGCCCUCGAAGUCAGCUUCCUAAAUGAAAGAGCAGAAAGUUCUGGUGAAGAGCAGCUCUCCAGGUGGCUGUUCAGAGAGUCUAAUCAUGGAGGUCCAGACUACAUUUAUUUUACUCCACACGAAGGCGCGAUUAGAGUCUAUAAAGAGUUCCAAAGACUUAGCCUCUAAAUCCCAUGUUUGCUGCAAAAAUCUAAGAGCCUCUUUGGAGUUUCUGUAAAAAGACUGUGAGUUUGUUUGGGUCUGCCCUUCUGGAUACAGCUACCAGCUUGAGCAGAUGAAAACUUUGGAGUUGGUCCAGGAAACCUGAAUCAUGUUGUAAAAGUUAACGUAUAAAUUUGGAUGGAACCUCAUUCUGAUCUACAGUGACAUCCCCAUUUGUGGCUGGACAUCACCAAGUGUAAUACUGAAUGUUUCAUUCAGUGUGUGACAGACUAGGAGAAGUAGUGCACGAGUGGUGAGCGUGACCUUGAGUUCUAAAGUACAGGAGCAUAGGACCAUGACCCUGAGCUCUGAGGUGGGGGAGCAUAUGUGAUGACCGUGACCUUGAGCUCUGAGGUGGGGGACCACAUGUGAUGACCAUGACCUUGAGUUCUGAGGUGGGGGAACCGUGUGAUGACUGUGACCUUGAGUUCUGAGGUGGGGGAGCACGUGUGAUGACUGUGACCUUGAGUUCUAAGGUCGGGGAGCACAUGUGAUGACCGUGACCUUGAGUUCUGAGGUGGGGGAGCACGUGUGAUGACCGUGACCUUGAGUUCUGGGUGGGGGAGCACGUGUGAUGACUGUGACCUUGAGUUCUAAGGUCGGGGAGCACAUGUGAUGACCGUGACCUUGAGUUCUGAGGUGGGGGAGCACGUGUGAUGACCGUGACCUUGAGUUCUGAGGUGGGGGAGCACGUGUGAUGACCGUGACCUUGAGUUCUGAGGUGGGGGAGCACGUGUGAUGACUGUGACCUUGGGUUCUGAGGUGGGGGAGCACAUGUGAUGACCGUGACCUUGAGCUCUGAGGUGGGGGAGCACAUGUGAUGACUGUGACCUUGGGUUCUAAGGUGGGGGAGCACAUGUGAUGACCGUGACCUUGAGCUCUGAGGUGGGAGAGCACAUGUGAUGACUGUGACCUUGGGUUCUAACAGCUCUGGGUCCUUAGAACCAUCUUCCA